GUCUUUUUGAAUAAUAUUUAUUUAAAGUCUAAUCUGCUCACUGAAUUAAAAUUUAAAGAGCCGCAGUAUUUUAACUGUGCAAAGGUAGCAUAAUAAUUUGUUUUUUAAUUGAAAACUAGAAUGAAUGAUUGAACGAGAUAUAUACUGUCUCAAUUUUAAUUUAAUAUAAAUUAAUUUUUUAGUUAAAAAGCUAAAAUUGAUUUAAAAGACGAGAAGACCCUAUAGAUUUUUAUAUAAUUAUCAAUUAAUUUAUAUAUAUAUAAAUUUAUUUAUAUUUAUUGAUAAUUGUAUUUUAUUGGGGUAAUAAAAAAAUAAAAAAAACUUUUAUUAAAUAAAAACAUAAAUUAAUGAAAAUUUGAUCCAAAUUUAAUGAUUAAAAGAUUAAAUUACCUUAGGGAUAACAGCGUAAUUUUAAUUUUAAGUUCUUAUUGAAAUUAAAGAUUGCGACCUCGAUGUUGGAUUAAGAAAAAUUUUAAAAGUAGAUUUUUAAAUUUUAGGUCUGUUCGACCUUUAAAAUCUU
rnacentral:rRNA from 2 species